rnacentral:rRNA from 1 species
GGAUGAACGCUAGCGACAGGCUAACACAUGCAAGUCGAGGGGCAGCAUAAAAGUAGCAAUACUUGGUGGCGACCGGCGCACGGGUGAGUAACGCGUAUGCAACCUACCUAUCAGAGGGGAAUAACCCGGCGAAAGUCGGACUAAUACCGCAUAAAACAGGGGCACCGCAUGGUGAUAUUUGUUAAAGAAAUUCGCUGAUAGAUGGGCAUGCGUUCCAUUAGGUAGUUGGUGAGGUAACGGCUCACCAAGCCGACGAUGGAUAGGGGAACUGAGAGGUUGGUCCCCCACACUGGUACUGAGACACGGACCAGACUCCUACGGGAGGCAGCAGUGAGGAAUAUUGGUCAAUGGGCGGGAGCCUGAACCAGCCAAGUCGCGUGAAGGGAAAAGAAGGAUCUAUGGUUCGUAAACUUCUUUUGCAGGGGAAUAAAGUGCAGGACGUGUCCUGUUUUGUAUGUACCCUGAGAAUAAGGAUCGGCUAACUCCGUGCCAGCAGCAGC